rnacentral:misc_RNA from 1 species
AACGCACAUUGCGCCCUCCGGCAUUCCGGGGGGCAUGCCUGUUCGAGCGUCAUUACACCAAUCAAGCCUGGCUUGGCAAUGGGCGUCGCCCGGUCUCACGACCGGGCGUGCCCCAAAGGAGUCGGCAGAGUCGAGCACCGCCGGGCGUAGCAGAAAAGAGGAGGGCCGCAAGCCCCGAUCCAGACGUCCGUGCUGUGUGAGUCUCCAGCCGAGCUGAACCGACCGACCCUCGCGGGCCGGUCACUUCCAAAGGUUGACCUCGGAUCAGGUAGGGAUACCCGCUGAACUUAA